rnacentral:lncRNA from 1 species
GCUUCUUCCGAUUGUUAAAUCGACCCAUACUUGAAAUCCAACGUUAAGGCCAGGAUUUUUUAAUUUGUUGGUUUACGGAUCCGCCGACCCGAUUUUGCUGAUUUCCAGAAUAAAAAUAAAAUUGACUUUUCAUGCUUUUUUAUUCCCGCCGACCCUAACAAAUGCAUUAUCCCUGAAAAAUAAUUAAAAUGUCCUUUUUUUAUGAAAGGAAAUGCAUAAAUCACUUAAUACAGAAGUGAUGACACUUUCUGUUGUGAAAAAAUGAAACUUUCAGUUUACGUUUCUAAAAAUAGACAAAUCAAUUAUUAAUGACCUUGAAAUAUUGUUUGCGCAAAUAAUUUUGCGGAACGAAAUCUGUGUUUAAAACUAGUUACACAAUAAGUUCGUUUCCUUUAUUUGUCACCAGUCCGUAAGAUGCCUGUUCUCAUAGAAAUAGACUUGUCCAAAUGUGGACAGGUGGAAGUUCAAGACACCGAGUAAAAGUUCUGAAUUUUAACAAAUCAUUUGAAAUUUUCUUGUUUUCAUAGAUAAUAAAAAAAUAUGUUCCAUUUGGAUAAAAAAACGGGAAUGCAUGACAACUAUUAUUUAACCCGAUAUUCUCGUCUUUCCAGUGGAUGAGUCUAUUACGUUUUUGACACGCGUGUUGAAACUUAUUUUCGUACGACGUUUUUACAUUUUUAUCUUUAUCAGUUUUCGUGCUAAUUACUAUUCACCAAGUUUUAAUUAAGAGCUACCGACAUGAAUCUCUUUUUCUUGUUUGUGAAAUGACGAUUUAAUUUUGUCUAUGUCCAUGCACCCCUUUUUUACGGGAAAUUAUUAGACAAUGUCAUGCGAUGUUUAUUACAGCUGAGAAAUACUAUUUCAUCGAACUAAAAUUUAAGAAUGAUGACAAAAUAGUAUGACAAACAUAUUAUUAGAAAGGUGAAAUAUAUAUAUAUUUAUUUUGCAUAUCAGUUUUAUGUCUUGAAAGAUCUUUUUUUUUCCGACCGACCGACCUGACUUUUUCAUUGAGAAAAUUCGUAAACCAACAAAUUAAAAAACCGUGGCCUAAAAUGUGUUUGCACAUGCGUAUAAUGACUACUGGAGAAACAUGAAUUUGAUCAAAUUGGCAUGCAUUUGAAAAUAUUUUGCAUUAAUCUAAAAACACUUUCAACUCUGAAAUGAUCCAC